AGACCCGAAACCCGGUGAUCUAGCCAUGGGCAGGUUGAAGGUUGGGUAACACUAACUGGAGGACCGAACCGACUAAUGUUGAAAAAUUAGCGGAUGACCUGUGGCUGGGGGUGAAAGGCCAAUCAAACCGGGAGAUAGCUGGUUCUCCCCGAAAGCUAUUUAGGUAGCGCCUCGUGAAUUCAUCUCCGGGGGUAGAGCACUGUUUCGGCUAGGGGGCCAUCCCGGCUUACCAACCCGAUGCAAACUGCGAAUACCGGAGAAUGUUAUCACGGGAGACACACGGCGGGUGCUAACGUCCGUCGUGAAGAGGGAAACAACCCAGACCGCCAGCUAAGGUCCCAAAGUCAUGGUUAAGUGGGAAACGAUGUGGGAAGGCCCAGACAGCCAGGAUGUUGGCUUAGAAGCAGCCAUCAUUUAAAGAAAGCGUAAUAGCUCACUGGUCGAGUCGGCCUGCGCGGAAGAUGUAACGGGGCUAAACCAUGCACCGAAGCUGCGGCAGCGACGCUUAUGCGUUGUUGGGUAGGGGAGCGUUCUGUAAGCCUGCGAAGGUGGCCUGUGAGGGUUGCUGGAGGUAUCAGAAGUGCGAAUGCUGACAUAAGUAACGAUAAAGCGGGUGAAAAGCCCGCUCGCCGGAAGACCAAGGGUUCCUGUCCAACGUUAAUCGGGGCAGGGUGAGUCGACCCCUAAGGCGAGGCCGAAAGGCGUAGUCGAUGGGAAACGGGUUAAUAUUCCCGUACUUGGUGUUACUGCGAAGGGGGGACGGAGAAGGCUAUGUUGGCCGGGCGACGGUUGUCCCGGUUUAAGCGUGUAGGUGUGUGUUCCAGGUAAAUCCGGUUCACUUUAACACUGAGGCGUGACGACGAGGCACUACGGUGCUGAAGCAACAAAUGCCCUGCUUCCAGGAAAAGCCUCUAAGCAUCAGGUAACAUCAAAUCGUACCCCAAACCGACACAGGUGGUCAGGUAGAGAAUACCAAGGCGCUUGAGAGAACUCGGGUGAAGGAACUAGGCAAAAUGGUGCCGUAACUUCGGGAGAAGGCACGCUGACACGUAGGUGAAGU
rnacentral:rRNA from 1 species